rnacentral:hammerhead_ribozyme from 1 species
AUCCAGCUGACGGGUCCCGAAUAGGACGAAAAGGCAUCCUAGAU